rnacentral:rRNA from 1 species
UAAGUAAUGCGUAUGCGACCUGCCCGUUGCAGGGGGAUAAUCGGGAGAAAUCCCGUCUAAUACCGCGUAAUGCCGCGGGGCUGCAUGGCCCUGCGGCCAAAGGGAGCGAUUCCGGCAACGGAUGGGCAUGCGUGACAUUAGCUAGUUGGCGGGGCAACGGCCCACCAAGGCGACGAUGUCUAGGGGUUCUGAGAGGAAGGUCCCCCACACUGGUACUGAGACACGGACCAGACUCCUACGGAAGGCAGCAG